AUGACAAUUCUUGUGUGUAGCUCAACAAAUCAUCACAUGCCGGAGAACGUCAACCACCGCGGCCUUGCUGGAGAACCAAAAAACCACAGUCGUCCGCCCUUACACCUUCGACCACUGCCGAAAUUCGCAUUUCCACCCUUGACCAUCGCUGGAAAUAAUCAACCACCGUCUGAAAGACUUCACCAUCGUCGUUAUUCACUUGUUACCAACUCAGAAAGGUUUCUAUUCAUCUUUUGA